UCGGGGGUCGUCUAACGGUAGGACCCAUCCCUCUGGAGGAUGGUAUCUUGGUUCGAAUCCAAGCCCCCGAACCA
rnacentral:tRNA from 1 species